rnacentral:rRNA from 1 species
GAUGAACGCUGGCGGCGUGCCUAAUACAUGCAAGUCGAACGAGGCCCUUUGUAUUCGUACGAAGGUGUCCUAGUGGCGAACGGGUGAGUAACACGUAGGUGACCUACCCCGAAGUGGGGGACAACUCUGGGAAACUAGAGCUAAUACCCCAUGUUCUCCAUGGUGUUAGAGGACCAUGGAGCAAAGGAGCAAUCCGCUUUGGGAGGGGGCCUGCGGCCCAUCAGCUAGUUGGUAGGGUAAUGGCCUACCAAGGCUAUGACGGGUAGGGGACCUGAGAGGGUGGUCCCCCACACUGGAACUGAAACACGGACCAGACACCUACGGGUGGCAGCAGUAGGGAAUAUUGCACAAUGGGCGAAAGCCUGAUGCAGCAACGCCGCGUGCGCGAUGAAGGCCUUCGGGUUGUAAAGCGCUUUUCUGGGGGAAGAGGAAGGACUGUACCCCAGGAAUAAGUCUCGGCUAACUACGUG